rnacentral:rRNA from 1 species
AGAGUUUGAUCCUGGCUCAGGAUGAACGCUGGCGGCGUGCCUAAUACAUGCAAGUCGAACGAGGUGCUCAAGUAGCAAUACGAGAGUAUCCUAGUGGCGAACGGGUGAGUAACGCGUUGGUGACCUGCCCCAAAGUGUGGGAUAACAGUUCGAAAGGACUGCUAAUACCUCAUGUGGUCUUCGGGUUUAGAAGCCGAUGACUAAAGGAGCAAUCCGCUUUGGGAGGGACCUGCGUCCCAUCAGCUAGUUGGUAGGGUAACGGCCUACCAAGGCUACGACGGGUAGGGGACCUGAGAGGGUGACCCCCCACAAUGGAACUGAAACACGGUCCAUACACCUACGGGUGGCAGCAGUAGGGAAUAUUGCACAAUGGGCGAAAGCCUGAUGCAGCAACGCCGCGUGUGCGAAGAAGGCCUUCGGGUCGUAAAGCACUUUUCUGAGAGAUGAGAAAGGACAGUAUCUCAGGAAUAAGUCUCGGCUAACUACGUGCCAGCAGCCGCGGUAAAACGUAGGAGGCGAGCGUUAUCCGGAUUCACUGGGCGUAAAGCGCGUGCAGGCGGUUCGGUAAGUUGGGCGUGAAAUCUCCUGGCUCAACUAGGAGAGGUCGUCCAAUACUACCGGACUAGAGAGCGGUAGAGGAAGAUGGAAUUCCCGGUGUAGUGGUGAAAUGCGUAGAUAUCGGGAGGAACACCAGUGGCGAAGGCGAUCUUCUGGACCGUUCCUGACGCUCAGACGCGACAGCUAGGGUAGCAAACGGGAUUAGAGACCCCGGUAGUCCUAGCCGUAAACGAUGUGAACUUGGCGUCGGUGGGUUAAACUCCAUCGGUGCCGCAGCUAACGCGAUAAGUUCACCGCCUGGGGACUACGGCCGCAAGGUUAAAACUCAAAGGAAUUGACGG